GGGGGUGUGGCUCAGUGGUACAGCACUUGCCUAAUAUGCACAAGACCCUGGGUUCAAUACUUAGCACCCGCA
rnacentral:tRNA from 1 species